rnacentral:rRNA from 1 species
CCUACGGGGGGCUGCAGUGGGGAAUAUUGGACAAUGGGGGGAACCCUGAUCCAGCCAUGCCGCGUGUGUGAAGAAGGCCCUCGGGUUGUAAAGCACUUUCAGUGAGGAAGAACGCCUGGUGGUUAAUACCCAUCAGGAAAGACAUCACUCACAGAAGAAGCACCGGCUAACUCCGUGCCAGCAGCCGCGGUAAUACGGAGGGUGCGAGCGUUAAUCGGAAUUACUGGGCGUAAAGCGCGCGUAGGUGGCUUGAUAAGCCGGUUGUGAAAGCCCCGGGCUCAACCUGGGAACGGCAUCCGGAACUGUCAAGCUAGAGUGCAGGAGAGGAAGGUAGAAUUCCCGGUGUAGCGGUGAAAUGCGUAGAGAUCGGGAGGAAUACCAGUGGCGAAGGCGGCCUUCUGGACUGACACUGACACUGAGGUGCGAAAGCGUGGGUAUCAAACAGGAUUAGAUACCCGUGUAGUC